rnacentral:pre_miRNA from 1 species
CAAGUACUCCCUCCGUCCAAAAAUACUUGUCAUCAAAAUGGAUAAAAAAGAUGUAUCUAGAACUAAUAUACAUUUAGAUACAUCCCUUUUAUUCAUUUUGAUGACAAGUAUUUCCGGACGGAGGGAGUACUAC